AAAUUGAAGAGUUUGAUCAUGGCUCAGAUUGAACGCUGGCGGCAGGCCUAACACAUGCAAGUCGAACGGUAGCACAGAGAGCUUGCUCUCGGGUGACGAGUGGCGGACGGGUGAGUAAUGUCUGGGAA
rnacentral:rRNA from 5 species